UACAGAGGGGGCAAGCGUUAUUCGGAAUUAUUGGGCGUAAAGGGCGCGUAGGCGGCCUGGCAAGUGGAUGGUGAAAUCCCUCGGCUUAACCGAGGAACUGCCAUCCAGACUGCUUGGCUUGAGACCGGGAGAGGUGAGUGGAAUUCCCAGUGUAGCGGUGAAAUGCGUAGAUAUUGGGAGGAACACCAGUGGCGAAGGCAGCUCACUGGACCAGUACUGACGCUGAUGCGCGAAAGCGUGGGGAGCAAACA
rnacentral:rRNA from 1 species